AGAAUCAACGCUGGCGGCGUGCCUAACACAUGCAAGUCGCACGAGAAAGGGUAGCAAUACCUGAGUAAAGUGGCGCACGGGUGAGUAACACGUGAAUUAUCUACCUCCGAGUGGGGAAUAACUGAGAGAAAUCUUAGCUAAUACCGCAUAACACUUACGAGUCAAAGCAGCAAUGCGCUUGGAGAGGAGUUCGCGGCAGAUUAGUUAGUUGGCGGGGUAAUGGCCCACCAAGACGAUGAUCUGUAUCC
rnacentral:rRNA from 1 species